rnacentral:rRNA from 1 species
UACGUAGGGUGCGAGCGUUAAUCGGAAUUACUGGGCGUAAAGCGUGCGCAGGCGGCUCUUCAAGUCAGAGGUGAAAGCCCCGGGCUUAACCUGGGAACCGCGUGUGAAACUGGAGGGCUGGAGUGUGGCAGAGGGAGGUGGAAUUCCACGUGUAGCAGUGAAAUGCGUAGAGAUGUGGAGGAACACCGAUGGCGAAGGCAGCCUCCUGGGCCAACACUGACGCUCAUGCACGAAAGCGUGGGGAGCAAACAGG